AGAGUUUGAUCCUGGCUCAGAUUGAACGUGCCUGGCUGCAUGCUUAACACAUGCAAGUCGAACGGCAGCGCGGGGAGCUUGCUCCCUGGCGGCGAGUGGCGAACGGGUGAGUAUCGCGUGGGGAAUCUGCCUGGAAGUGGGGGAUAACCUCUCUAACGGGUUGGGGCUAAUACCGCAUGUGGAGGGAUGGGUGCAUAUUCGUCUCUUCAAAGGUGGCCUCUGUUUCAAGCUGCUGCUUCCAGAUGAUCCCGCGUCCUAUUAGCUUGAUGGUGGGGUAAUGGCCUACCAUGGCAAUGACGAUGGGUAGCCGGCCUGAGAGGAUGAUCAGCCACACUGGAACUGGAACACGGUCCAGACUCCUACGGGAGGCAGCAGUGAGGAAUUUUGCGCAAUGGGGGAAACCCUGACGCAGCAACGCCGCGUGAGAGGUGAAGAAGGCUUUCGGGUCGUAAAGCCCUGUCAGGUGGGAAGAACCGUUUCGAUACUAAUAAUGUCGAAGCCUGACGGUACCACCAGAGGAAGCACCGGCCAACUCCGUGCCAGCAGCCGCGGUAAUUGCUC
rnacentral:rRNA from 1 species